UCCAGACUCCUACGGGAGGCAGCAGUGAGGAAUAUUGGUCAAUGGGCGAGAGCCUGAACCAGCCAAGUCGCGUGAGGGAAGACGGUCCUAUGGAUUGUAAACCUCUUUUGUCGGGGAGCAAAAAGGCCUCGUGAGGCCACAAGUGAGAGUACCCGAAGAAAAAGCAUCGGCUAACUCCGUGCCAGCAGCCGCGGUAAUACGGAGGAUGCGAGCGUUAUCCGGAUUUAUUGGGUUUAAAGGGUGCGUAGGCGGUAGGUCAAGUCAAGGGUGAAAUCCCCGCGCUCAACGUGGGAACUGCCUUUGAAACUGGCAAACUGGAGUGUGUGAGAGGAUAGUGGAAUUCCAGGUGUAGGAGUGAAAUCCGUAGAUAUCUGGAGGAACAUCAGUGGCGAAGGCGACUAUCUGGCACAUAACUGACGCUGAGGAGCGAAAGCGUGGGUAGCAAACAGGAUUAGAUACCCCUGUAGU
rnacentral:rRNA from 1 species